GACGAACGCUGGCGGCGUGCUUAACACAUGCAAGUCGAACGGAAAGGCCCUGCUUUUGUGGGGUGCUCGAGUGGCGAACGGGUGAGUAACACGUGAGUAACCUGCCCUUGACUUUGGGAUAACUUCAGGAAACUGGGGCUAAUACCGGAUAGGAGCUCCUGCUGCAUGGUGGGGGUUGGAAAGUUUCGGCGGUUGGGGAUGGACUCGCGGCUUAUCAGCUUGUUGGUGGGGUAGUGGCUUACCAAGGCUUUGACGGGUAGCCGGCCUGAGAGGGUGACCGGCGACAUGGCGACUGAGAUACGGCCCAGAAGCCAACGGGACGCAGCAGUGGGGAGUAUUGCACAAUGGGCGGAAGCCUGAUGUAGCAACGCCGCGUGCGGGAUGACGUCCUUCGGGUUGUAAACCGAUUUCGCCUGUGACGAAGCGUGAGUGACGGUAAUGGGUAAAGAAGCACCGGCUAACUACGUG
rnacentral:rRNA from 1 species